rnacentral:rRNA from 1 species
GAUGAACGCUGGCGGCGUGCCUAAUACAUGCAAGUCGAGCGAACAGACGAGGAGCUUGCUCCUCUGACGUUAGCGGCGGACGGGUGAGUAACACGUGGAUAACCUACCUAUAAGACUGGGAUAACUUCGGGAAACCGGAGCUAAUACCGGAUAAUAUAUUGAACCGCAUGGUUCAAUAGUGAGAGACGGUUUUGCUGUCACUUAUAGAUGGAUCCGCGCCGCAUUAGCUAGUUGGUAAGGUAACGGCUUACCAAGGCGACGAGGCGUAGCCGACCUGAGAGGGUGAUCGGCCACACUGGAACUGAGACACGGUCCAGACUCCUACGGGAGGCAGCAGUAGGGAAUCUUCCGCAAUGGGCGAAAGCCUGACGGAGCAACGCCGCGUGAGUGAUGAAGGUCUUCGGAUCGUAAAACUCUGUUAUUAGGGAAGAACAAAUGUGUAAGUAACUAUGCACGUCUUGACGGUACCUAAUCAGAAAGCCACGGCUAACUACGUG